rnacentral:rRNA from 1 species
GGCCUAACACAUGCAAGUCGAGCGGAUGAAGGGAGCUUGCUCCCUGAUUUAGCGGCGGACGGGUGAGUAAUGCCUAGGAAUCUGCCUGGUAGUGGGGGAUAACGUUCCGAAAGGAACGCUAAUACCGCAUACGUCCUACGGGAGAAAGCAGGGGACCUUCGGGCCUUGCGCUAUCAGAUGAGCCUAGGUCGGAUUAGCUAGUUGGUGAGGUAAUGGCUCACCAAGGCGACGAUCCGUAACUGGUCUGAGAGGAUGAUCAGUCACACUGGAACUGAGACACGGUCCAGACUCCUACGGGAGGCAGCAGUGGGGAAUAUUGGACAAUGGGCGAAAGCCUGAUCCAGCCAUGCCGCGUGUGUGAAGAAGGUCUUCGGAUUGUAAAGCACUUUAAGUUGGGAGGAAGGGCAGUAAGCUAAUACCUUGCUGUUUUGACGUUACCGACAGAAUAAGCACCGGCUAACUUCGUGCCAGCAGCCGCGGUAAUACGAAGGGUGCAAGCGUUAAUCGGAAUUACUGGGCGUAAAGCGCGCGUAGGUGGUUCGUUAAGUUGGAUGUGAAAGCCCCGGGCUCAACCUGGGAACUGCAUCCAAAACUGGCGAGCUAGAGUACGGUAGAGGGUGGUGGAAUUUCCUGUGUAGCGGUGAAAUGCGUAGAUAUAGGAAGGAACACCAGUGGCGAAGGCGACCACCUGGACUGAUAC